AUUCAGAUGGUGAGUCCCAAAUAGGACGAAACGCGCAUCCUGAUU
rfam:Schistosoma margrebowiei strain Zambia genome assembly, scaffold: SMRZ_contig0000311